CCUACGGGAGGCAGCAGUGAGGAAUAUUGGUCAAUGGUCGGGAGACUGAACCAGCCAAGCCGCGUGAGGGAGGAAGGUACAGAGGAUCGUAAACCUCUUUUGUCAGGGAACAAAGGCGGGGACGUGUCCCCGGAUGAGUGUACCUGAAGAAAAAGCAUCGGCUAACUCCGUGCCAGCAGCCGCGGUAAUACGGAGGAUGCGAGCGUUAUCCGGAUUUAUGGGGUUUAAAGGGUGCGCAGGCGGUCUGUUAAGUCAGCGGUCAAAGCCCGGGGCUCAACCCCGGCCCGCCGUUGAAACUGGCAGUCUCGAGUUGGCGAGAAGUAUGCGGCAUGCGCGGUGUAGCGGUGAAAUGCAUAGCUAUCGCGCAGAACUCCGAUUGCGAAGGCAGCAUGCCGGCUCCACACUGACGCUGAGGCACGAAAGCGUGGGUAUCGAACAGGAUUAGAUACCCUUGUAGUC
rnacentral:rRNA from 1 species